rnacentral:lncRNA from 13 species
CUUUACUGCAAAGAAAACCAAUAAUUACAUUUACCUAUUGCUUUAUCCUGCAAAUUUAGACUACACAAAAUACAUUUUAAUUACUCGAAGAUAAAAGGGAGCCUCAGAUAUAAUUUGCUACUCGUUCUCUUUACAGAAGACGAAAUGUUAAGAAAGGAGUUCAGGAGGAAAUGCUUGCGAGGGAAUUUAUAACCACUUCUUUGCUUCUGGGAAUGCCUGAUGCCGACGGGUUUGAACUGGAGGCUUCCUUGUUUGUUCAUUGGAAAGGUGUUUACCCAAGAGAAAUAAAUGUCCCCGUUUAAAGACUAGUCCACAAAUGUGCACAGUAGUAUUUGUUACAUACGAAGGCUGGAAAAAACCCAGAUGUUCAUCACAAGAUGGGGAAUACAGCAUUUGCGGAAUGCAGUACCUACAUAUGGGGAGGACCAACUUCUACUGUAUGCAAGAUCCCAGCACCCAUGGCGGGAAUUGAGUAUGUUCAUAUUUUGGAAUGGGACACAUCCUGAAAUCAAUCUUUCACUUACACCGUGAGAUGAUGAUGAUGAUGGUCUCUCUCAUCAGAGUUUCUGUUGACUGUGCUGUCCAUGACCAGGAAAAGUCUUGUCCUGCAUUUGCUCACUUCAGGCUCAGGCAGUUUUCUCACACAGGUGCAAUGAUCGAUACUAAGAUAAGGACUCCAGAGGGCUCCCCACAUAUGUCUGAGUUUCUCCCUCUGUGGCACUCCCUCCUUGCAGAUCCUCUAUCCUGAGACCUCGAGCUGUCUCACACAACCUCAGCUCAGAGAUUCUGCAUGGAGCCACCUGGGGAUCCCUUUUCUAAGCUGUGGACAGGAAACUUUCUAAAGGUAAUAAACAAGAACAGGCUGAGUGCUCA